GAGUUUGAUCAUGGCUCAGAUUGAACGCUGGCGGCAGGCCUAACACAUGCAAGUCGAGCGGUAGAGAGAAGCUUGCUUCUCUUGAGAGCGGCGGACGGGUGAGUAAUGCCUAGGAAUCUGCCUGGUAGUGGGGGAUAACGCUCGGAAACGGACGCUAAUACCGCAUACGUCCUACGGGAGAAAGCAGGGGACCUUCGGGCCUUGCGCUAUCAGAUGAGCCUAGGUCGGAUUAGCUAGUUGGUGAGGUAAUGGCUCACCAAGGCGACGAUCCGUAACUGGUCUGAGAGGAUGAUCAGUCACACUGGAACUGAGACACGGUCCAGACUCCUACGGGAGGCAGCAGUGGGGAAUAUUGGACAAUGGGCGAAAGCCUGAUCCAGCCAUGCCGCGUGUGUGAAGAAGGUCUUCGGAUUGUAAAGCACUUUAAGUUGGAGGAAGGGCAGUAAAUUAAUACUUUGCUGUUUUGACGUUACGACAGAAUAAGCACCGGCUAACUCUGUGCCAG
rnacentral:rRNA from 1 species